rnacentral:rRNA from 1 species
UACGGAGGGGGCGAGCGUUAUUCGGAAUCAUUGGGCGUAAAGGGCGCGUAGGCGGGUUCGCAAGUCUGUGGUGAAAUCCUCCGGCUCAACCGGAGAACUGCCUCGGAUACUGCGGGUCUCGAGGGUGAUAGGGGUAUGCGGAACUAUCGGUGGAGCGGUGAAAUGCGUUGAUAUCGAUAGGAACUCCGGUGGCGAAGGCGGCAUACUGGAUCACUUCUGACGCUGAGGCGCGAAAGCCAGGGGAGCAAACGGG